AUUGAACGCUGGCGGCAUGCCUUACACAUGCAAGUCGAACGGCAGCACGGGAGCAAUCCUGGUGGCGAGUGGCGAACGGGUGAGUGAUAUAUCGGAACGUGCCCAGUAGUGGGGGAUAGCCCGGCGAAAGCCGGAUUAAUACCGCAUGAGACCUGAGGGUGAAAGCGGGGGAUCGCAAGACCUCGCGCUAUUGGAGCGGCCGAUAUCAGAUUAGCUGGUUGGUGGGGUAAAGGCCUACCAAGGCAACGAUCUGUAGUUGGUCUGAGAGGACGACCAGCCACACUGGGACUGAGACACGGCCCAGACUCCUACGGGAGGCAGCAGUGGGGAAUUUUGGACAAUGGGCGAAAGCCUGAUCCAGCCAUGCCGCGUGUCUGAAGAAGGCCUUCGGGUUGUAAAGGACUUUUGUCGGGGAGGAAAUCCCCAGCGUUAAUACCGCUGAGGGAUGACAGUACCUGAAGAAUAAGCACCGGCUAACUACGUGCCAGCAGCCGCCGUAAUAC
rnacentral:rRNA from 1 species